rnacentral:rRNA from 1 species
GAUGAACGCUGGCGGCGUGCCUAAUACAUGCAAGUCGAGCGAACAGACGAGGAGCUUGCUCCUCUGACGUUAGCGGCGGACGGGUGAGUAACACGUGGAUAACCUACCUAUAAGACUGGGAUAACUUCGGGAAACCGGAGCUAAUACCGGAUAAUAUAUUGAACCGCAUGGUUCAAUAGUGAAAGACGGUUUUGCUGUCACUUAUAGAUGGAUCCGCGCCGCAUUAGCUAGUUGGUAAGGUAACGGCUUACCAAGGCAACGAUGCGUAGCCGACCUGAGAGGGUGAUCGGCCACAUUGGAACUGAGACACGGUCCAGACUCCUGCGGGAGGCAGCAGUAUGGAAUCUUCCGCAAUGGGCGAAAGCCUGACGGAGCAACGCCGCGUGAGUGAUGAAGGUCUUCGGAUCGUAAAACUCUGUUAUUAGGUAAGAACAAAUGUGUAAGUAACUAUGCACGUCUUGACGGUACCUAAUCAGAAAGCCCCGGCUAACUACGUG